CCUACGGGUGGCAGCAGUGAGGAAUAUUGGUCAAUGGGCGGGAGCCUGAACCAGCCAAGUCGCGUGAGGGAAGACGGUCCUCUGGAGUGUAAACCUCUUUAGGCGGGGAGCAAUGCCGGGCACGCGUGCCCGGAGGGAGAGUACCCGCAGAAUAAGCAUCGGCUAACUACGUGCCAGCAGCCGCGGUAAUACGGAGGAUGCGAGCGUUAGCCGGAUGGAGUGGGUUUAGAGGGGGCGUAGGCGGAUUUUUCAGUCAGCGGUAAAAUGUCCGGGCUCAACCCGGGCCGGCCGUUGAAACUGGGGAUCUUGAGUGGGCGAGAAGUAUGCGGAAUGCGUGGUGUAGCGGUGAAAUGCAUAGAUAUCACGAAGAACUCCGAUUGCGAAGGCAGCACACCGGCGCCCGACUGACGCUGAGGCACGAAAGCGUGGGGAUCGAACAGGAUUAGAUACCCUGGUAGUC
rnacentral:rRNA from 1 species